rnacentral:rRNA from 2 species
GGCGGGAUUACCCGCUGAGUUUAAGCAUAUCAAUA